rnacentral:rRNA from 2 species
AAUGGUGGGUAAUACUGUAUAAUCCCUGCGGGGGAAAGAUUUAUCGCUACUAGAUGAGCCUAUGUCAGAUUAGCUAGUUGGUGGGGUAAUGGCCCACCAAGGCUGUGAUCUGUAGCUGGUCUGAGAGGAUGAUCAGCCACACUGGAACUGAGACACGGUCCAGACUCCUACGGGAGGCAGCAGUGGGGAAUAUUGGACAAUGGGCGCAAGCCUGAUCCAGCUAUGCCGCGUGAGUGAGGAAGGCCUUAGGGUUGUAAAACUCUUUCAGUAGGGAAGAUAAUGACGGUACCUACAGAAGAAGUCCCGGCAAACUCCGUGCCAGCAGCCGCGGUAAUACGGAGGGGGCAAGCGUUGUUCGGAAUUAUUGGGCGUAAAGGGCAUGUAGGCGGUUUGGUAAGUUAAAGGUGAAAUACCAGGGCUUAACCCUGGGGCUGCUUUUAAUACUGCAGGACUAGAGUCCGGAAGAGGAUAGCGGAAUUCCUAG